UCACGAAACAUGGCGAAACAAAUUGUUGCUAUUUUAUACUUAUUUUUCUGUGAUUCCAAAUACCGAAUUGAACUUGGUUUGUAAAAUCUGUCAGUUGUCAUUCCAACAAGUUGACUUGCUCAGUCACUUUUCAUCCAUUAGAUCCUUAUGCUGUCAAAACUGAAAUGCCUGAAACUCAUAUUUGACGCCCACAUACAGUGGAAUUGAACAAAUGUGCUGAGAUGAGGUAUUCUUGUUCAUGGAUCAUAGGACCUUUUCCAAAUCUUGUGAUUUUGAUAGUGUAACCUGUGACCAGCCUGUGACUGCCUGUUUGUUAUUACAACCGCUUCUACAUCCAUUUAGAAGGCAGCCCAGCUGAGAGAUAGUUUCAGUGACAUGAAGAGUGUGAAGUCCCUUGUGCUUGUACAUUUACAAGAUCUGCUUGAUGAAAGUCAAAUGCCUUAAUGAAUUCGUCACCCAAAUGAUAAAGCUAAACAUGAAGGGAUGUCGCCCGUGACAGAGGAGUGAAGAUAGCUUGGAACUUAAAUUACGAUAAAGCAUUACCACGAGAGGAACGAAAAAGCUGCUGCUAAACGGGGAAAGCUGCUGGAGUAAUCUGGUGUUCAUGCUCAUUAAUUUCAUUUCGUGCCAGCUAGUGAAGCCGAAAGGCAUGUCGAAUUCAAGUUGAGCUACUGCGUUUUGUCUCGAAGCAAGCAAUCCAGCCGUUGCGUUCAGUCAUUUGGAACAGGAAUCUAAUGGCUGUCAAUAGGUGGCUGUCAAAAGUUGGUGGGAAUGUCCACCAGAUAGCGCGAGUGUCUUCAGGGACGCAUUUCGGCCAUUUUGUUCCAAGACGCCCAGCAGAAAUGGUUGCUGGUCAUGACGUUUCUCACGAUGAAAAUUAAAAGGUGAUUUAGCACGAAGGAACCAAUUUGCCAAAUCAUUCAACUGAGACUUGGAAUUGCCUGUACAUUGCCGAAAUGGCGUGCCUCGUGUGUCUCGCUGCCUGUUCUUAGGCGUACGUCUCAUCCCAUGCAACAGUAAAAAGUAUAACAACCACACUUCUUAAACGCUGUCGGUUACCUUGUUGCAGCCAAAGGUGAAAGGUGUGACAAAGACAGAUUGAACCAUUGUAUGCAGCAUGCAGUUGCAGUGUAAUCCAGAAGUUGCUGUGCUGUUGUAGCUGAGCUGUUCCAUCU